rnacentral:tRNA from 1 species
CAAAGUGUAGCUUAACGCAAAGCACCUGGCUUACACCCAGAAGAUUUCACAGCAACGUGACCACUUUGA